ensembl:lncRNA
CGAUGACCUCAUUUCAAGAUGGCUGCUACCUACAUAACGAAAUAAACACUGAAUACGUUGAUACACACCGAAAACUGUGACUCCACAGAUCAUGUGGAUAUCUUAUUUGUCAGCCUGUGACCUACCGUUAUUGAUCACCAGCCCCGACAGUCAAAAUGUUUUUACAAAACGUUUACAUCAAACAGCAAACAUCUUACAAGCCAAAGCUCCUGUCUAGGCUGAGGCUCUCUACCCUCCAUCCCUCCAUCCCCAGCAAGUCCAGAUUCAGGCGGUCUGCUCUGCUGUGCUAUUGAGGGGAUGAACAUGGAUUAUCCCUGGCCCGGCCAGCCCAUCAGGCCAGCCAAAGUGGGAGGCAUGGGGAGAAGCAGUGCUAAAGAGUGUCUAUGGGAGAGCAACCAUGCUGCAAUUAUAGGAGAAGGAAC